rnacentral:rRNA from 1 species
GACAGAGGGUGCAAACGUUGCUCGGAAUCACUGGGCGUAAAGGGCGUGUAGGCGGGAAGGAAAGUCGGGCGUGAAAUCCCUGGGCUCAACCCAGGAACUGCACUCGAAACUUCUUUUCUUGAGUGCCGGAGAGGAAAGCGGAAUACCUGGUGUAGAGGUGAAAUUCGUAGAUAUCAGGUGGAACACCAGUGGCGAAGGCGGCUUGCUGGACGGUAACUGACGCUGAGACGCGAAAGCGUGGGGAGCAAACAGG